UUGAACAGCUAGCUCUCUACAACUCUCACAUAGUCACCCACUGAAGCUAAGCAGGGCUGUGCCCGUUCAGUACCUGGAUUGGAGACCACAUGGGAAAGCUAGGUUGCUGCCGGAA
rnacentral:rRNA from 1 species